AGCGUGUGCGCGAGUCAUUGGGUGUAAAACCUAAAGGCGCAAUGAAAGUGUCAGGGGUGCCUCCUUUAGGAGCGCAUCCCGUUGGGAGGAUGGGCCCCCGUACGAUCACUCGUCGGAGCCCCGCACUCCCGGGGCGUCUCGUUCUCAUCACGAGUGGAGACGCACCAGGAGCGCACACGCUGGUACCCGAAAGAUGGUGAACUAUGCCUGGCCAGGACGAAGCCAGGGGAAACCCUGGUGGAGGUCCGAAGCGAUUCUGACGUGCAAAUCGAUCGUCUGAGCUGGGUAUAGGGGCGAAAGACCAAUCGAACCAUCUAGUAGCUGGUUCCCUCUGAAGUUUCCCUCAGGAUAGCUGGCUCUCGGGAAGAGACGAGUCUCAUCCGGUAGAGCGAAUGAUUAGAGGUGAUGGGGUCGAAACGACUUCAACCUAUUCUCAAACUCCCAAUAGAUGAGAGCC
rnacentral:rRNA from 1 species